rnacentral:rRNA from 1 species
AGUGAACGCUGGCGGUAGGCCUAACACAUGCAAGUCGAACGGCAGCACAGUAAGAGCUUGCUCUUACGGGUGGCGAGUGGCGGACGGGUGAGGAAUACAUCGGAAUCUACUUUUUCGUGGGGGAUAACGUAGGGAAACUUACGCUAAUACCGCAUACGCCCUACGGGUGAAAGCAGGGGAUCUUCGGACCUUGCGCGAUUGGAUGAGCCGAUGUCGGAUUAGCUAGUUGGCGGGGUAAAGGCCCACCAAGUCGACGAUCCGUAGCUGGUCUGAGAGGAUGAUCAGCCACACUGGAACUGAGACACGGUCCAGACUCCUACGGGAGGCAGCAGUGUGGAAUAUGGGACAAUGGGCGCAAGCCUGAUCCAGCCAUACCGCGUGGGUGAAGAAGGCCUUCGGGUUGUAAAGCCCUUUUGUUGGGAAAGAAAAGCAGCAGGUUAAUACCCCGCUGUUCUGACGGUACCCAAAGAAUAAGCACCGGCUAACUUCGUG